rnacentral:rRNA from 1 species
UACGUAGGGGGCAAGCGUUGUCCGGAAUUAUUGGGCGUAAAGAGCUCGUAGGCGGUUUGUUGCGUCGGCUGUGAAAUCCCGAGGCUCAACCUCGGGUCUGCAGUCGAUACGAGCAAACUAGAGUGUUGCAGGGGAGAGUGGAAUUCCUGGUGUAGCGGUGAAAUGCGCAGAUAUCAGGAAGAACACCAAUGGCGAAGGCAGCUCUCUGGGACGGUACUGACGCUGAGACGCGAAAAGCGUGGGGGAGCGAACAGG